UUCCUACGGGAGGCAGCAGUAGGGAAUUUUCGUCAAUGGGCGCAAGCCUGAACGAGCAAUGCCGCGUGAACGAGGAAGGUCUUCGGAUCGUAAAGUUCUGUUGAAGGGGAAAAAGAGCGGAGAGAGGAAAUGCUUUCUGAUUGAUAUUACCCUUCGAGGAAGUCACGGCUAACUACGUGCCAGCAGCCGCGGUAAUACGUAGGUGGCGAGCGUUAUCCGGAUUUAUUGGGUUUAAAGGGUGCGUAGGCGGUCCGGAAAGUCAGCGGUAAAAGCCCGGGGCUCAACCCCGGCGAGCCGUUGAAACU
rnacentral:rRNA from 1 species